UUCUGACUCAGCCCACUUGCACCCAAGCGAAAUAAAAAGUUUUAUUGCUCACGCAAAGCCUGUUAGGAGGUCUCUUCACAUGGAAGCGCGUGACAGGCACAUGUUCUCAGGGUCUCCUGGGGGCUGCGUCAUGGGCCAUGGUCAUUCGUGUUUGGCUCAGAAUAAAUCUCUUAAAAUAUUUUACAGAGUUUGGGCCAGGCGCGGUGGCUCAUGCCUGUCAUUCCAGCACUUUGAGAGACUGAGGCGGGUGGAUCAUCUGAGGUCGGGAGCUCGAGACCAGCCUGACCAACACUGUGAAACCCCGUCUCUACUAAAAAUACAAAAAUUAGCCGGGCGUGGUGGUGUGCACCUGUAAUCCCAGCUACUCGGGAGCCUGAGGCAGGAGAAUCGCUUGAACCCAGGAGGCAGAGGUUGCAGUGAGCCGAGAUCGCACCGCUGCCUCCAGCCUGGGCGACAGAGAGAGACUCCGUCUCAAAAAAAAAACAAAAAACACUUCAAUGUCAUUUGUUUCAAAUCUCCCCUCAAGGCUGCCCAGAAAGCUAAGCGAGGGAGAUGGGGAGGUGAGCAAGGAGGGUGGUUUACUUUCUCACACUCUCUUGCUCUGUGCUUAUUCUUUCGGUGUUGAGUUUGGGACAAGGACGAGGAAAUCCGAUGGGACUGCCCAUGGAAGCUGGUACCCACAGAUUCAUUUGCUUGAGAAGAUGAAAUUUCCAUUUUCCAUAUGCUGAAUUUAAGAUGGGCACCAUCCAGUGAGGCAAAAGACGUGCAAACCGUUGCACUCCUGGAGAAAUGUUUCUCGCAUGCACCGAAUAGCAGAAAGCAGAGGUCAGCAAACUGCAGCCCGUGGGCCAAAGCCAACCCCAAC
rnacentral:lncRNA from 1 species